rnacentral:rRNA from 1 species
UACGAAGGGGGCUAGCGUUGCUCGGAAUCACUGGGCGUAAAGCGCACGUAGGCGGAUUCGUAAGUCAGGGGUGAAAUCCCGGGGCUCAACCUCGGAACUGCCUUUGAUACUGCGGAUCUCGAGUCCGAUAGAGGUGGGUGGAAUUCCUGGUGUAGCGGUGGAAUGCGUAGAUAUUGGGAGGAACACCAGUGGCGAAGGCGGCUCACUGGACCGGAACUGACGCUGAGGCGCGAAAGCGUGGGGAGCAAACAGG